rnacentral:tRNA from 1 species
GGCUACCUGGCGCAAUGGUAGCGCGUUUGGCUUCGAUUGCUGAAUGCUACCAAAAGGUUGCAGGUUCGAGUCCUGCGGUGGUCA